GGUACAAGAUCCCAGUGAUGAAGGUAAACGUAUUGUAUACCUAAAAUGUGCCAAUAAAAGAAUUUAAGCAAAAAACUUUCUACUAUUCUAAUAACUCUGUUGCUUGUAAUAGCUAGGUGGUAGGUAGGUAUUAUUGGUCAACUUCUUUGCGGGGGGUUACUGGGGAUCGAGCUGAGGACCUUGUAGUUGAGAGGCAAGUGGCGGCACCAAUGAGCUAAAUCCCCUGCCUGAUCAAUGUCUUUGAAAGCAUACAUGUGUUCUUCAGUAGAAACCAGAGACGGGGGAUAAGACCCAGUUGUUUUUCAUCUGACAUUCCCUGAGAAACCUUGUCUACUCCACCAGUGCUAGAUAGAGUACAUAUUUUCAAGUCUCUAAAAUAGAGAUUCAUCUUAAAAAUGACAGUCUCAAUGUACUAUGGACCAGAGUUAGCCAUAGUGUGAUUGUUCUCAGGACACUUUCUAGGAUUUGGGAGGAAAACCUUCCCCUGACCUCUCCCCAUGACAUCCUCAGCCUCUGCCCUUGCAGAGGGACUGUCACUAGGAUGAUGAGCUCAUUUCAUGGGGAGUAAUGAAUGCAGGGCUUUCUAGGAAACUUCUAAUUGGCCCUAAGAGUGAUGAUACAUUGGAAAUGACAGACAUGAUGCAUAGCCUGUUUUUAUCUCCUUAAUUUUCUCUCAUCUUACCUUGCUUCCUUUAUUAUCAGUAGACGUUUCUGAUGCAUAGUAAUCACAACUGAACUGCAGGUUGGUACAAAUCCCUGUGGCAUCUUGAGCCUUUUCCACCCUUCCAGCCUCCUCCCACUCAGCCCUCGCACAGCUUUGAAGGGAAUUGUCUGAUAAGUUUCAUUUUUUUAUUGUUAAUGCUUGGGGUGGGAGUUCACAUGCAUUUUCACAUUGAUCAUAUAUAUCUCAACGUGCUUGGAUUUAGUAUUCAGUUGUAACACAAUUUUUGUUUGUUCCUUUGCAUUUUUUAUAGACAAGAUUAUGUUUGGAGCCAAUAGAUGUUGUUUGGCUUGUUUUCACAUGGAAAAUCAUAAGAAAUAUGAUGCCUUCUAUUUCCUUUUCUCUUCUGAUAGCUCUGAUGGCAGCCUCCAGUACAAUGUUGAGUAGAAGUGGCAAGAAUGAGCAUCUUUCUCUGAUUUUCUAUGUUCAAAAAACAGUGAAUUCUAAUCACAGUCACAGGAGCACAGAAUAGGACCCUUCUCCAUGUGAGCCUUCAGUGCACAGUCAAGCCCUGACCAUGACCACAUCUGGAUUCCUCACCCCGAAGAAGCUGCUGCCACCAUGUGAGCAACUUCCCUCAGCCAAGACCCACCCUUCCUUGGAGCUCCCCACCUUAGGCUGAAAACGUGAGCCAGGCUGACCCUGAACUCCAGGGCUGAAGUGAUCCUCCUGCCUCCAGCUCCAAAGUAGCAGAAUCUCCAGAUUUUCCCUGCCUAAUACGGGCCCAGAAAGCCUAUAGCCCAGGUGCUGACCCUACAGAUGUGUUUCAGCCCCGCCCACAGAAGCAGCAGGAGGGCUCUUUCUCUGGACUUUGUUCAACGUGAUUAUCACAGAACCAGUUUUCCCGUCCUUCUGAGUUGUCCUCAGAUUUUGCUUCUUGUUACUGUCACAGCACCGGCUCUGCCUUCCUGCAUUGCUCAGUGGCCUCCCACCCUGUCGAAGUCCACAGUCUGGGGUGGGUGUUAAAUGUUCCAUGUACAGCACUCUCAUUGUAUGAGUAGAAAAUAGGUGGCUUAAGUGGUGGCAGUUGUUGCUGUUGUUGCUGUUUGUUGUUGUUGCUGUUUUGUUGGGAAAAAAUCUCUUUCCCCAUUGUACCACUGCUCACCAGCUCUAAAGGCAUGUGUGUAGGUGUAUGGCAAUUAUUAAAUUUCAACCUGUUCUGUGCUCACCUUGAAUGCUUGGACUGGAAAUGUCUCACUUCACCAUGCCCAGAGGGGAAGAAAGUGUAACUGUGGAUCUACUCACCGAUGGGCCCUGUUGCUCCUUCCCUCAGUCCCAAGAUGGUGUGUGCCCUGAGUCUGCGGAGCCACCAGCUUCCUGUCUUCAGCCUGCUAAUGCCUGACUUUCUGCCUCACAUCAUGACGGUGUCACUCACUCUCCUCAAAUAUUAUUCUCCAGUGUGAAAAACCACAGCCAACUUAUACUUGGUGGUGUGGAUCUUCCCGGAGCCCCUGCAGCAUUUCUGAAGGUAUAUAUUGAAAGUUCCAAUUUGACCAGACCACUUCUCCAACCUUGCGGAAGAACUCUUAGCUUCGCAAAAGGAGCUCUAUACAGUACAUUUAAACUUUCAGAAAAGAUAGAUCAGAGAGAAAUAAGUGGGUCAAAGAUUGUUUUGAUUUCCUGUGUAGUUCUGAUUAGUGCUGAUGUAUUGUUUUUGACCACUCCAUGAGUAUGGGGCAGGAUGACUUUAAUGGAGCAGUUCUACUGCUAAGGGUUUUAACCCUUUUUUGCCAUUGUGUAACCACUGCAUUUUUAAAUAUCUGAUGCAUUCAGUAGACCCAUUCCAUAGGAAAUUAUUUGUACAUACACAAUUUUGUGAUACUAGGAAUUGAACCCAGGAAUGCUCUUUCACUAAACUAUAUCUUGAGCCUUUUAUUUAUUUUAUUAUUUUUUAUGUCAAGACAGGAUUUUGCUGUUCCUAAUACUGUAAUUGAAUUUGCAAUCCUCUUUCUUCAGCUACCUGACAGGCUUGACUACAACAUACACCACUGCGCCUGGCUUCCAAAACACACAUUUUACAAAAGAUUCAUGAUCUAUGUAGAACCAGAGUUAAACUCCCUAGUCAAGACUAACUGAAUCUAUUCAAAAACCUCACUCGUUUGCAUGUAAACAGGUAGUCCUUCUCAUAGUUAUCAUAUAGAAAUUCUACCUGAUGAAUUUCUUUUUAAUUUUGAACUUCUGAAAUCAUAAAGAUAUAUAAAUAUUAAAUUUUAUACUGCAUUCUUGUUCAAUUUGUGCCAUAAAAUUAUCUUUAUUUACUUACUUCCCAAUCUUAGAAAUUUUAUUAGUAGUAUAUGUUGUGAUCCAUAAUAUUACAUUCUUUGGGGGAACAUAUAAAUAUGUAUAAUUUUAAUUUUUUUCCUUUCUACCCUUCCCCAAAUCUAUUUCCCAAUAUCCAAAAAGUCAACCUCUCUGUUUCCUAUCACUUCUCCUUUAUUUUGAGCAUUAAGUUAUUUAUAUUUUGUGUUUCUGAUAUGAGAGAAAUCACAUGAUGUUUAUCCUUCUGUGUCUGGCUUAUUUCACUAAACAUUUGGUCUCAAGAGCCAUCAUUUUCACAUAAUUCAAAAGCACCCUGAUUUAAUGCUGAGUAAUAAUCCAUUGUGUAUAUAUGUUUCCUUUAUUUAUUCUUCUGCUUAUGGGCAUCUAGGUUGUUGCCAUAAUUUAUCUCUGGUGAAUUAAGCUCUGACAAACAUGGGAAUAUAUAUAUCACUAUAACAUGAUGACUUUAACUCUCUGGGGAAGAUACCCAGAGGCAGUGUAACUGGCCCAAAUGAAACUUCCAAUUUCAUCUUUUUUGCAGUCUCUGUACUGUUUACCACCAUGGUUAUACUAGUUUACAUUCCAACCAACAAGGUAGGAGGCUUCCCCCGCAACAUCACCAUUUGUUAGUUUUUGAGUUUUAAAGUUAGCCAUACUUACUGGAAUAAGGUGGAAUCUCGGUUUUGUUUUAAAUUGUAUUUCCUUAAUUACAAAGGAUAGCAAAUAUUUUUUUCAGUUACUUAUUGGCCAUUUGUACUUCUGAGAAGUAUCUAUCCAUUUCAAUUGCCCAUUUUUUAUAUUUAAAUACAUAGUUUUUAUAUUUUCUAGACAUUGCUCUUCCCAAAGAAGAACAGCUGGUAAUUUUUUUUUCC